rnacentral:tRNA from 1 species
GAAUGUACAGCUCAGUGGUAGAGCACGCGCUUAGCAUGCAUGAGGUCCUGGGUUCGAUCCCCAGUACCUCCA